GACGAACGCUGGCGGCGUGCUUAACACAUGCAAGUCGAACGGGAGUAUUGAAGGAGCUUGCUUUAGAGAUACUUUAGUGGCGGACGGGUGAGUAACGCGUGAGGAGCUGUCCUAUGCAGGGGGACAACAGUUGGAAACGACUGCUAAUACCCCAUAAGCCGAGAGGUAAAAGGAGCGAUUCGGCAGAGGAGGUACUCGCGUCCUAUCAGCUAGUAGGUGAGGUAACGGCUCACCUAGGCGAAGACGGGUAGCCGGCCUGAGAGGGCGAACGGCCACACUGGAACUGAGAUACGGUCCAGACUCCUACGGGAGGCAGCAGUGGGGAAUAUUGGGCAAUGGGGGCAACCCUGACCCAGCGACGCCGCGUGGGUGAAGAAAUCCCUCGGGAUGUAAAGCCCUGUUGUAUGGGAAGAGCAGAAGACGGUACCAUACGAGGAAGCCCCGGCAAACUACGUGCCAGCCGCCGCUGUAA
rnacentral:rRNA from 1 species